rnacentral:tRNA from 1 species
UCCCUUAGCUCAAAUGGUAAAGAAUCUGCCUGGAAUGCAGGAGACCCAGGUUCGAUCCCUGGAUCGGGAA